rnacentral:rRNA from 1 species
CACGGUGGAUGCCUUGGCACUAGAAGCCGAUGAAGGACGUUACUAACGACGAUAUGCUUUGGGGAGCUGUAAGUAAGCUUUGAUCCAGAGAUUUCCGAAUGGGGAAACCCAGCAUGAGUUAUGUCAUGUUAUCGAUAUGUGAAUACAUAGCAUAUCAGAAGGCACACCCGGAGAACUGAAACAUCUUAGUACCCGGAGGAAGAGAAAGAAAAUUCGAUUCCCUUAGUAGCGGCGAGCGAAACGGGAAGAGCCCAAACCAACAAGCUUGCUUGUUGGGGUUGUAGGACACUCUAUACGGAGUUACAAAGGACGACAUUAGACGAAUCAUCUGGAAAGAUGAAUCAAAGAAGGUAAUAAUCCUGUAGUCGAAAAUGUUGUCUCUCUUGAGUGGAUCCUGAGUACGACGGAGCACGUGAAAUUCCGUCGGAAUCUGGGAGGACCAUCUCCUAAGGCUAAAUACUCUCUAGUGACCGAUAGUGAACCAGUACCGUGAGGGAAAGGUGAAAAGCACCCCGGAAGGGGAGUGAAAUAGAACCUGAAACCGUGUGCUUACAAGUAGUCAGAGCCCGUUAAUGGGUGAUGGCGUGCCUUUUGUAGAAUGAACCGGCGAGUUACGAUUUGAUGCAAGGUUAAGCAGUAAAUGUGGAGCCGUAGCGAAAGCGAGUCUGAAUAGGGCGUUUAGUAUUUGGUCGUAGACCCGAAACCAGGUGAUCUACCCUUGGUCAGGUUGAAGUUCAGGUAACACUGAAUGGAGGACCGAACCGACUUACGUUGAAAAGUGAGCGGAUGAACUGAGGGUAGCGGAGAAAUUCCAAUCGAACCUGGAGAUAGCUGGUUCUCUCCGAAAUAGCUUUAGGGCUAGCCUCAAGUGAUGAUUAUUGGAGGUAGAGCACUGUUUGGACGAGGGGCCCCUCUCGGGUUACCGAAUUCAGACAAACUCCGAAUGCCAAUUAAUUUAACUUGGGAGUCAGAACAUGGGUGAUAAGGUCCGUGUUCGAAAGGGAAACAGCCCAGACCACCAGCUAAGGUCCCAAAAUAUAUGUUAAGUGGAAAAGGAUGUGGCGUUGCCCAGACAACUAGGAUGUUGGCUUAGAAGCAGCCAUCAUUUAAAGAGUGCGUAAUAGCUCACUAGUCGAGUGACACUGCGCCGAAAAUGUACCGGGGCUAAACAUAUUACCGAAGCUGUGGAUUGUCCUUUGGACAAUGGUAGGAGAGCGUUCUAAGGGCGUUGAAGCAUGAUCGUAAGGACAUGUGGAGCGCUUAGAAGUGAGAAUGCCGGUGUGAGUAGCGAAAGACGGGUGAGAAUCCCGUCCACCGAUUGACUAAGGUUUCCAGAGGAAGGCUCGUCCGCUCUGGGUUAGUCGGGUCCUAAGCUGAGGCCGACAGGCGUAGGCGAUGGAUAACAGGUUGAUAUUCCUGUACCACCUAUAAUCGUUUUAAUCGAUGGGGGGACGCAGUAGGAUAGGCGAAGCGUGCGAUUGGAUUGCACGUCUAAGCAGUAAGGCUGAGUAUUAGGCAAAUCCGGUACUCAUUAAGGCUGAGCUGUGAUGGGGAGAAGACAUUGUGUCUUCGAGUCGUUGAUUUCACACUGCCGAGAAAAGCCUCUAGAUAGAAAAUAGGUGCCCGUACCGCAAACCGACACAGGUAGUCAAGAUGAGAAUUCUAAGGUGAGCGAGCGAACUCUCGUUAAGGAACUCGGCAAAAUGACCCCGUAACUUCGGGAGAAGGGGUGCUCUUUAGGGUUAACGCCCAGAAGAGCCGCAGUGAAUAGGCCCAAGCGACUGUUUAUCAAAAACACAGGUCUCUGCUAAACCGUAAGGUGAUGUAUAGGGGCUGACGCCUGCCCGGUGCUGGAAGGUUAAGAGGAGUGGUUAGCUUCUGCGAAGCUACGAAUCGAAGCCCCAGUAAACGGCGGCCGUAACUAUAACGGUCCUAAGGUAGCGAAAUUCCUUGUCGGGUAAGUUCCGACCCGCACGAAAGGCGUAACGAUUUGGGCACUGUCUCAACGAGAGACUCGGUGAAAUCAUAGUACCUGUGAAGAUGCAGGUUACCCGCGACAGGACGGAAAGACCCCGUGGAGCUUUACUGUAGCCUGAUAUUGAAAUUCGGCACAGCUUGUACAGGAUAGGUAGGAGCCUUUGAAACGUGAGCGCUAGCUUACGUGGAGGCGCUGGUGGGAUACUACCCUAGCUGUGUUGGCUUUCUAACCCGCACCACUUAUCGUGGUGGGAGACAGUGUCAGGCGGGCAGUUUGACUGGGGCGGUCGCCUCCUAAAAGGUAACGGAGGCGCUCAAAGGUUCCCUCAGAAUGGUUGGAAAUCAUUCAUAGAGUGUAAAGGCAUAAGGGAGCUUGACUGCGAGACCUACAAGUCGAGCAGGGUCGAAAGACGGACUUAGUGAUCCGGUGGUUCCGCAUGGAAGGGCCAUCGCUCAACGGAUAAAAGCUACCCCGGGGAUAACAGGCUUAUCUCCCCCAAGAGUUCACAUCGACGGGGAGGUUUGGCACCUCGAUGUCGGCUCAUCGCAUCCUGGGGCUGUAGUCGGUCCCAAGGGUUGGGCUGUUCGCCCAUUAAAGCGGUACGCGAGCUGGGUUCAGAACGUCGUGAGACAGUUCGGUCCCUAUCCGUCGUGGGCGUAGGAAAUUUGAGAGGAGCUGUCCUUAGUACGAGAGGACCGGGAUGGACAUACCUCUGGUGUACCAGUUGUCGUGCCAACGGCAUAGCUGGGUAGCUAUGUGUGGACGGGAUAAGUGCUGAAAGCAUCUAAGCAUGAAGCCCCCCUCAAGAUGAGAUUUCCCAACUUCGGUUAU